rnacentral:rRNA from 1 species
GACGAACGCUGGCGGCGUGCCUAAUACAUGCAAGUAGAACGCUGAAGAGAGGAGCUUGCUCUUCUUGGAUGAGUUGCGAACGGGUGAGUAACGCGUAGGUAACCUGCCUUGUAGCGGGGGAUAACUAUUGGAAACGAUAGCUAAUACCGCAUAACAAUGGAUGACACAUGUCAUUUAUUUGAAAGGGGCAAUUGCUCCACUACAAGAUGGACCUGCGUUGUAUUAGCUAGUAGGUGAGGUAACGGCUCACCUAGGCGACGAUACAUAGCCGACCUGAGAGGGUGAUCGGCCACACUGGGACUGAGACACGGCCCAGACUCCUACGGGAGGCAGCAGUAGGGAAUCUUCGGCAAUGGGGGCAACCCUGACCGAGCAACGCCGCGUGAGUGAAGAAGGUUUUCGGAUCGUAAAGAUCUGUUGUAAGUCAAGAACGAGUGUGAGAGUGGAAAGUUCACACUGUGACGGUAGCUUACCAGAAAGGGACGGCUAACUACGUG